rnacentral:rRNA from 1 species
CCCUUAGAUGUUCUGGGCAGCACGCGCGCUACAAUGGUCUACGCAAACGGAUGCAUUCUCGAAGGAGAAUGCCAAUCUUGGAAUCUAUGCCUUGGUCGGGACAGUUGCUUGCAAUUUUUCGACUCGAACCAGGAAUUCCUUGUAAUCGUGAUUCAUCACAUCACGAUGAAUACGUCCCUGCCCUUUGUACACACCGCCCGUCGCUCCUACCGAUCGAAGAGUUAGGUGAAUUGUUUUGAUCGAUAAGAUUUGACUAUGGUCAACUCUCGUUGUGAAAUUCUGUGAAUCUGACUGUUUAGAGGAAGGAAAAGUCGUAACA